rnacentral:lncRNA from 1 species
CUCACUUGACGACACAGAUGGACAGCGCUUACUACUUGUUCCAGGAGAUCCGGCAGGGGCUCCAGGAACAUCACAAGCAGCACCAGGGAAACCAGGAGUUCCCCAGUGAGCAGCCCAACCGGGACCCCCAGCACCCAGAGGCCAAGACCCCACAGCCCUCCAGUCUCCA